rnacentral:lncRNA from 1 species
GGCUUUUCCAGAGAGGAAGCAGGGGAAGGUGCCAGGAAGAGAUAAGGCCUGUCCUGAUCCAGGAACCUCCAAGCCUUUUGCCUGGUCUCCAGGCUCCUAGACUCUCCUGCCUUGAAUCCACCCUCCAAAAGGUAGCUUGAGUCUAAUUAUCUCCUUUCCCUGCUCCGAACUUUUUCAUGGCUCCCCAGUGCCCUAGGGACAAAGCACAGAUUCCCGGACACAGCCCACACCACCUCUGAUCUCAGCCACAUCCUCAGCCUCUAAUUGAGUUAGCACACUGUCUACACUGGGUUCAACACUGACAUUUCCCCUCAGAUGCCCUCUCCUCCAAAGAAGCCCUCUCUGCCUGCCCCAGCUACCCCGCCCCAGCUCUGACCACACUGGGUCAUCGGUGCCUGGGGAUGGAUCUGUCUCCUCUCCAGGAGCCCCAGUGAGGACUGAGCCCUGGAACUGCCUUCAUUAUUUAGGACUGGGAGCCCCAGCAGGACAGGACUGGAACCAUCGUGGUCACUGUUGUGUCUCCUGCACCACCCAACACCAGGCCAGGCAUAGAGGAGAUUUUGUUCAAUGCAACUGUUUGUUCAAUGUCAUUCAUUCAAUAAAUAUUUACAGAGCACCAAUUCUGUUCCGGGCACUGGGGAUAAAUCAGUGAAGGAAUUCAAAGAGCCCUGAUUGGC